rnacentral:rRNA from 1 species
CAGACGGGUGAGUAAUGUAUAGGAUCUACCUAGUAGUACGGAAUAAUUGUUGGAAACGACAACUAAUACCGUAUACGCCCUACGGGGGAAAAAUUUAUUGCUAUUAGAUGAGCCUAUAUUAGAUUAGCUAGUUGGUGGGGUAAUAGCCUACCAAGGUAAUGAUCUAUAGCUGAUCUGAGAGGAUGAUCAGCCACACUGGAACUGAGAUACGGUCCAGACUCCUACGGGAGGCAGCAGUGGGGAAUAUUGGACAAUGGGCGAAAGCCUGAUCCAGCCAUGCCGCAUGAGUGAAGAAGGCCUUUGGGUUGUAAAGCUCUUUUAGUGAGGAAGAUAAUGACGGUACUCACAGAAGAAGUCCUGGCUAACUCCGUGCCAGCAGCCGCGGUAAUACGGAGAGGGCUAGCGUUAUUCGGAAUUAUUGGGCGUAAAGGGCGCGUAGGCUGGUUAAUAAGUUAAAAGUGAAAUCCCGAGGCUUAACCUUGGAAUUGCUUUUAAAACUAUUAAUCUAGAGAUUGAAAGAGGAUAGGGGAAUUCCUGAUGUAGAGGUAAAAUUCGUAAAUAUUAGGAGGAACACCAGUGGCGAAGGCGUCUAUCUGGUUCAAAUCUGACGCUGAAGCGCGAAGGCGUGGGGAGCAAACAGGAUUAGAUACCCUGGUAGUCCACGCUGUAAACGAUGAAUGUUAAAUAUGGGGAGUUUACUUUCUGUAUUACAGCUAACGCGUUAAACAUUCCGCCUGGGGACUACGGUCGCAAGAUUAAAACUCAAAGGAAUUGACGGGGACCCGCACAAGCGGUGGAGCAUGUGGUUUAAUUCGAUGCAACGCGAAAACCUUACCACUUCUUGA